AGUGGAGCAAUCCAUGAGUACAGUGGCGUACGGGUGAGUAACACGUGACUACCUACCCUCGAGCGGGGAAUAACCUCGGGGAACCGGGACUUUUACCACAUAACAUCUACGGAUCAAAUGCGUAAGCAGCUUGAGGAGGGGGUCGCGGCCGAUUAGCUAGUUGGUGAGGUAAUGGCUCACCAAGGCAAUGAUCGGUAGCCGGCCUGAGAGGGCGCACGGCCACACUGGAACUGAAACACGGUCCAGACUCCUACGGGAGGCAGCAGUGGGGAAUUUUGCGCAAUGGGGGAAACCCUGACGCAGCAACGCCGCGUGGAGGAUGAAGCCCCUUGGG
rnacentral:rRNA from 1 species